rnacentral:rRNA from 1 species
GAUGAACGCUAGCGGCAGGCUUAACACAUGCAAGUCGAGGGGUAUAGGGAGCUUGCUUCCUAGAGACCGGCGCACGGGUGCGUAACGCGUAUGCAAUCUACCUUUUGCAGAGGGAUAGCCCAGAGAAAUUUGGAUUAAUACCUCAUAGUAUAGCAGUUUCGCAUGAAACCACUAUUAAAGUCACAACGGCAAAAGAUGAGCAUGCGUCCCAUUAGCUUGUUGGUAAGGUAACGGCUUACCAAGGCAACGAUGGGUAGGGGUCCUGAGAGGGAGAUCCCCCACACUGGUACUGAGACACGGACCAGACUCCUACGGGAGGCAGCAGUGAGGAAUAUUGGACAAUGGGCGCAAGCCUGAUCCAGCCAUGCCGCGUGCAGGAUGACGGUCCUAUGGAUUGUAAACUGCUUUUUGUACAGGAAGAAACACUGGUUCGUGAACCGGCUUGACGGUACUGUAAGAAUAAAGGAUCGGCUAAACUCCGUGCCAGCA